rnacentral:tRNA from 1 species
CCGCGGCGUCGGGCAGCCCGACCGACUCGAGCGCCUUCAGGGCGUUCUCGUGGCGCUGGGCCCGGUUCAUGCCGCGGCGGCGGA